rnacentral:rRNA from 1 species
UGGCUCAGAUUGAACGCUGGCGGCAGGCUUAACACAUGCAAGUCGAGCGGUAACAGGGGUAGCUUGCUACCCGCUGACGAGCGGCGGACGGGUGAGUAAUGCAUAGGAAACUGCCCAGUAGUGGGGGAUAGCCCGGGGAAACCCGGAUUAAUACCGCAUACGUCCUUCGGGAGAAAGCAGGGGAUCUUCGGACCUUGCGCUAUUGGAUGUGCCUAUGUCGGAUUAGCUGGUUGGUGAGGUAAUGGCUCACCAAGGCGACGAUCCGUAGCUGGUCUGAGAGGAUGAUCA